UUUCCGUAGGUGAACCUGCGGAAGGAUCAUUAACGAGUUAGGGUCCUUUACGCCCGAUCUCCCAACCCUUUGUUUAUUGAACCUCUGUUGCUUCGGCGGACCCGUCUCACGGCCGCCGGAGGACCCCUCCGUCGCGUCCUCCGGCCAGCGUCCGCCGAUGGCCAACCAACUAACCUCUGAAUGAACCGUGUCAUAUGUCUAAGUCUAUGAUUAAAUUAAAGCAAAACUUUCAACAACGGAUCUCUUGGUUCUG
rnacentral:misc_RNA from 1 species